rnacentral:rRNA from 1 species
ACGCUCGACACCUACGGGAGCAGCAGUGGGGGAUAUUGCACAAUGGGGGAAACCCUGAUGCAGCGACGCCGCGUGGAGGAAGAAGGUCUUCGGAUUGUAAACUCCUGUUGUUGGGGAAAAAGAGGAUGGUACCCAACAAGGAAGUGACGGCUAACUACGUGCCAACAGCCGCCGGUAAGUACUGAGCGGGCGUGGCGAAGGCG